GAUGAACGCUGGCGGCAUGCCUAAUACAUGCGAGUCGAGCGAAUGGAUUAAGAGCUUGCUCUUAUGAAGUUAGCGGCGGACGGGUGAGUAACACGUGGGUAACCUGCCCAUAAGACUGGGAUAACUCCGGGAAACCGGGGCUAAUACCGGAUAACAUUUUGAACCGCAUGGUUCGAAAUUGAAAGGCGGCUUCGGCUGUCACUUAUGGAUGGACCCGCGUCGCAUUAGCUAGUUGGUGAGGUAACGGCUAACCAAGGCAACGAUGCGUAGCCGACCUGAGAGGGUGAUCCGCCACUCUGGGACUUAGGCACGGCCCAGACUCCUACGGGGGGCAGCAGUAGGGAAUCUUCCGCAAUGGACGAAAGUCUGACGGAGCAACGCCGCGUUAGUGACGAAGGCUUUCGGGUCGUAAAACUCUGUUGUUAGGGAAGAACAAGUGCUAGUUGAAUAAGCUGGCACCUUGACGGUACCUAACCAGAAAGCCACGGCUAACUACGUGCCAGCCGCCGCAGUAA
rnacentral:rRNA from 1 species